AUGUUAAUGAACUGUGUGUGUGUGUCAGGGAAGGAGGGAGUAUUCUGUGAAUAUGAGACAUUUCUGUUCUUUGAGGGCAGAGCGAGCGGAGAGAGGAAGAACGGAGAGAGGGAGUAGAGCUGAGAGAGGGAGGAGAGCAGAGAGAGGGAGAACGGAGAGAGGGGAGAGAGCUGAGAGAGGGAGGAGAGCAGAGAGAGGGAGAACGGAGAGAGGGGAGAGAGCUGAGAGAGGGAGGAGAGCAGAGAGAGGGAGAACGGAGAGAGGGGAGAGAGCGGUGUGAGGGAGGAGAGCGGAGAGAGGGAGGAGACCGGAGAGCGGGAGGAGAGCGGAGAGCGGAGAGCGGGAGGAGAGCGGAGAGCGGGAGGAGAGCAGAGAGCGGAGAGCGGGAGGAGAGCGGAGAGCGGGAGGAGAGCAGAGAGCGGGAGGAGAGCGGAGAGCGGGAGGAGAGCGGAGAGCGGGAGGAGAGCGGAGAGCGGAGAGCGGGAGGAGAGCGGAGAGCGGGAGGAGAGCGGAGAGCGGGAGGAGAGCGGAGAGCGGGAGGAGAGCGGAGAGCGGGAGGAGAGCGGAGAGCGGGAGGAGAGCGGAGAGCGGGAGGAGAGCGGAGAGCGGGAGGAGAGCGGAGAGCGGGAGGAGAGCAGCGGGAGGAGAGCAGCGGGAGGAGAGCAGCGGGAGGAGAGCGGAGAGCGGGAGGAGAGCAGCGGGAGGAGAGCAGCGGGAGGAGAGCAGCGGGAGGAGAGCAGCGGGAGGAGAGCAGCGGAGAGCGGGAGGAGAGUGGAGAGAGAGAGUACAGCGGAGAGCGGGAGGAGAGUGGAGAGAGAGAGUACAGCGGAGAGCGGGAGGAGAGUGGAGAGAGAGAGUACAGCGGAGAGCGGGAGGAGAGUGGAGAGAGAGUACAGCGGAGAGCGGGAGGAGAGUGGAGAGAGAGAGUACAGCGGAGAGCGGGUGGAGCUGAGAGAGGGAGGAGAAUGGAGAGCAGAAGGAGAGUGGAGAGAGGGGGAGAGUGGAGAGAGAGAGUACAGCGGAGAGCGGGAGGAGAGUGGAGAGAGAGUACAGCGGAGAGCGGGAGGAGAGUGGAGAGAGAGAGUACAGCGGAGAGCGGGAGGAGAGUGGAGAGAGAGUACAGCGGAGAGCGGGAGGAGAGUGGAGAGAGAGUACAGCGGAGAGCGGGAGGAGAGUGGAGAGAGAGAGUACAGCGGAGAGCGGGUGGAGCUGAGAGAGGGAGGAGAAUGGAGAGCAGAAGGAGAGUGGAGAGAGGGAGGAGAGCGGAGAGCGGGAGGAGAGUGGCGAGCGGGAGGAGAGCCGAGAGCAGAGAGAGCCGGAGUGUUUUAGUGUGAGUGUGUGUACGGCGUAACCAACCCAUUCUGCAGUGGAGCCGCGGAGCACAGGGGGAGCCUGAGUUACUACAUGUCUUAGUCAGACCACGCCCCAGUUCACCUUCACCUGU
ensembl:lncRNA